GGCUUUUUCACGUCUCCCCAACCCCCUACCCUUCCUCUCCGCACUCCAUGCCGGGUCUCUCUCUCCAGCUCGCCGCGUCUGGCUGGCUCCCACCGCAGGAGACUUGGCGCAAACCUAACCGCCGCCGCCUCGCGCGCUUCCAGCCCCAGCCUCUCCGCCUUCCCCUGCGCCCCCCUCUCGCGCCAUGGGGCCAACCUGCGGCUCCUAAGAGUUGCCGCUGGGAGCAGCGCGCUCUCCCGCCCAUUUCCCCACGAGCGGGCGAUGGCUUAGGGCGCCAGAGGGGCCAGCCCAGAGGUACCGGGAAGGGGAAAUUCGGCCGGCCGACUGGGGAAAAAGAGGCCAACCAUGAGUUUCCACAAGGAGGACGGAGUGAGCAGCCUGUGCCAGAAGGCGCUGCACAUCGUCACCGAGCUGUGCUUCGCGGGCCAGGUGGAGUGGGAAAAGUGCUCGGGCAUCUUCCCCCGGGACAGGGGCAGCCAGGGCGGAAGCAGCACAGAUAUUUCGGUCAGCUUGUUAGCAGUGGUUGUCAGCUUCUGUGGCCUGGCCUUGUUGGUUGUCUCACUUUUUGUCUUCUGGAAGUUGUGCUGGCCUUGUUGGAAAAGCAAACCUGUGACUUCCAACGUCAGUACCCUUCCACAGAGCAUUUCAAGUGCUCCUACUGAAGUCUUUGAGACCGAAGAGAAAAAAGAAGUUCAAGAAAAUGAAAAGCCAGCUCUAAAAGCUGUUGAGCCUGCUAUAAAAAUCAGCCACACUUCCCCUGAUAUCCCAGCAGAAGUCCAAAAUGCUUUAAAAGAACAUUUAAUUAAACAUGCACGUGUGCAAAGACAAAUUACUGAACCUACAUCCUCAUCCCGCCACAAUUCCUUCAGGAGACACCUACCAAGGCAAAUGCAGGUUUCCAGUGUUGAUUUUAGCAUGGGCACAGAAUCAGUUUUACAAAGAGGAGAAACAACAACCAGCAUUGGGAGGAUAAAACCAGAGCUCUACAAACAGAAAUCUGUUGACUCUGAGGGCAACAGGGAAGAAGAUGUCAAAACCUGUGGGAAACUUAACUUCACCCUCCAGUAUGACUAUGAAAAUGAACUUCUGAUUGUUAAAAUUAUCAAAGCCUUAGAUCUCCCUGCUAAAGACUUCACAGGCACUUCUGACCCUUAUGUGAAGAUGUAUCUUCUUCCAGAUAGGAAAAAGAAAUUUCAGACCCGUGUGCACAGAAAGACUUUAAAUCCUCUAUUUGAUGAAACUUUUCAGUUUCCUGUAGCAUAUGAUCAACUAAGCAACCGAAAACUACAUUUCAGUGUAUAUGAUUUUGACAGAUUUUCUAGACAUGACAUGAUUGGGGAAGUGAUUCUUGAUAAUUUGUUUGAAGUCUCUGAUCUCUCCAGGGAAGCCACAGUGUGGAAAGAUAUUCAUUGUGCUACCACAGAAAGUAUAGAUCUGGGUGAAAUCAUGUUCUCCCUUUGUUAUUUGCCAACUGCUGGACGUAUGACAUUGACAGUCAUCAAGUGCAGAAAUCUGAAGGCUAUGGAUAUCACUGGGUCAUCAGAUCCUUAUGUCAAAGUGUCUCUGAUGUGUGAAGGUCGGAGAUUAAAAAAGAGGAAAACAACGACGAAGAAAAACACUCUAAACCCUGUGUACAACGAGGCUAUUAUUUUCGAUAUCCCUCCAGAGAAUGUGGACCAGGUCAGCCUCUCCAUUGCGGUCAUGGAUUAUGAUAGGGUAGGACACAAUGAGGUCAUAGGAGUGUGUAGAACAGGACUGGACGCUGAGGGUCUUGGGCGAGACCACUGGAAUGAAAUGCUGGCCUAUCACCGAAAACCAAUAACACAUUGGCACCCCUUGCUGGAGUCACUGUAGGACAUACAGGAAGAACAAGCUACAAUCUGGGCAUCAGAAGAAGAUCCCUGAUAUUUUUAUAGCAGCUGAGUAUCAGAGGACAAAUGGGACUAAAGACUAUGUAAAUAUACUUUCUCCAGCAAGUAGCUCCUUUUUUCCAACUCCUGCACCUACAUUCAUUGGUCAAACAGAACAUAUGGACUAGAGACCUAAGAACUGGCUGGAUUUUGCAUUUUGGGAAAGUGGUGAGUGUAUAACUAUGUCUUUUGUUGCCAGAGGAGGGAUUAAAAUAAUAAAGGAACAAUUACUCGAAAACAGGGUAAGUUGGUGGGACAGAGACUAAAGCAUCAUUUAGAAAAUCUGGCUACUUCUACCUAAAUAAUCAAAAGUUUAUCCUGUUGUAAUUGAACUUUUUAAAUACAUGUAAUAUUUAAGAACCAUGAGAAAUUAUUCUUCAACCCCCAUGGCUCCCAUUUGCCAACGUCAGUCCCUGUUGUUUCGUUAAUGACCCUGAUAAAAAUCACCUCCUGCCUUAGAACAAGUGCAAUGUGGUCUCUUGUGCCUUGAGCCUUCUUGCGCUUACCUAGCAACUGUUCUCCACUAUCACAAACCAUUAAUUAUUUUGCAGUGAGAACAUUCAUAGAAUGUGAAAUGAAUCUCUAGUCAUGAAUAAUUGUGUGUACAGUGUUGGUCUGCAUGCCAUUUUGUACCAUGCUGUGUCUACAUCUCCGUGAGAUGUCUGUGCCCCAUCGUGCUGCCUGAGAAGUUACCUGGCCGGGCAACCAGUUUUGAUAGUCAAGGAUCCUGUCCAUCUCCCAAACCACCUUCCACACCAUAAUGCCUCCAGAAUAAAGACCAUUUUAAUAAGGACCCAGG